CAAUAGCGUAUAUUUAAGUUGCUGCAGUUAAAAAGCUCGUAGUUGGAUUUCGGGUGGGAAUGGCCGGUCCGCCGUUUCGGUGUGCACUUGCUACGCCCACCUUGCUGCCGGGGACGUGCUCUUGAGUUCACGCUCGGGACACGGAGUCGGCGAGGUUACUUUGAGUAAAUUAGAGUGUUCAAAGCAGGCCUACGCUCUGAAUACAUUAGCAUGGAAUAACACGAUAGGACUCUGGCCUAUCUUGUUGGUCUGUAGGACCGGAGUAAUGAUUAAGAGGGACAGUCGGGGGCAUUCGUAUUUCAUUGUCAGGGGUGAAAUUCUUGGAUUUAUGAAAGACGAACUACUGCGAAAGCAUUUGCCAAGGAUGUUUUCAUUGA
rnacentral:rRNA from 1 species